UGUAAUCCCCAAUGUUGGAGGUGGGGCCUGGUAGAAGGUGUUUGGAUCAUGGGGGCUGAUAUGGUGAGGCUUUGUGUCCCCACCCAAAUUUUAUCUUGAAUUGAAUUUUUGCAUUUUUAGUAGAGACAGGGUUUCACCAUGUUGGCCAUUAUCUGUCUGUCUGGCAUUUGGUAGUCACUCAUAAAUCGUUUAUUGCAUUACUAACUAAAUAAAAAAGUUGACCUUGCAUUCACCUCCUCUGGAUGUUUCAAGAGACUCUAAUGCUUUUUAAAGUAAAACUUUUUAUACUAGUUUAUAGUGGAUUAUUGUUCAGAAAAUAUUUACUUCCCCCAUCAGAA
rnacentral:lncRNA from 1 species